GGGUUGUGAGGUUAAGCGACUAAGCGUACACGGUGGAUGCCCUGGCAGUCAGAGGCGAUGAAGGACGUGCUAAUCUGCGAUAAGCGUCGGUAAGGUGAUAUGAACCGUUAUAACCGGCGAUUUCCGAAUGGGGAAACCCAGUGUGAUUCGUCACACUAUCAUUAACUGAAUCCAUAGGUUAAUGAGGCGAACCGGGGGAACUGAAACAUCUAAGUACCCCGAGGAAAAGAAAUCAACCGAGAUUCCCCCAGUAGCGGCGAGCGGACGGGGAGCAGCCCAGAGCCUGAAUCAGUGUGUGUGUUAGUGGAAGCGUCUGGAAAGGCGUGCGAUACAGGGUGACAGCCCCGUACACAAAAAUGCACAUAUUGUGAGCUUGAUGAGUAGGGCGGGACACGUGGUAUCCUGUCUGAAUAUGGGGGGACCAUCCUCCAAGGCUAAAUACUCCUGACUGACCGAUAGUGAACCAGUACCGUGAGGGAAAGGCGAAAAGAACCCCGGCGAGGGGAGUGAAAAAGAACCUGAAACCGUGUACGUACAAGCAGUGGGAGCACGCUUAGGCGUGUGACUGCGUACCUUUUGUAUAAUGGGUCAGCGACUUAUAUUCUGUAGCAAGGUUAACCGAAUAGGGGAGCCGAAGGGAAACCGAGUCUUAACUGGGCGUUAAGUUGCAGGGUAUAGACCCGAAACCCGGUGAUCUAGCCAUGGGCAGGUUGAAGGUUGGGUAACACUAACUGGAGGACCGAACCGACUAAUGUUGAAAAAUUAGCGGAUGACUUGUGGCUGGGGGUGAAAGGCCAAUCAAACCGGGAGAUAGCUGGUUCUCCCCGAAAGCUAUUUAGGUAGCGCCUCGUGAAUUCAUCUCCGGGGGUAGAGCACUGUUUCGGCAAGGGGGUCAUCCCGACUUACCAACCCGAUGCAAACUGCGAAUACCGGAGAAUGUUAUCACGGGAGACACACGGCGGGUGCUAACGUCCGUCGUGAAGAGGGAAACAACCCAGACCGCCAGCUAAGGUCCCAAAGUCAUGGUUAAGUGGGAAACGAUGUGGGAAGGCCCAGACAGCCAGGAUGUUGGCUUAGAAGCAGCCAUCAUUUAAAGAAAGCGUAAUAGCUCACUGGUCGAGUCGGCCUGCGCGGAAGAUGUAACGGGGCUAAACCAUGCACCGAAGCUGCGGCAGCGACGCUUAUGCGUUGUUGGGUAGGGGAGCGUUCUGUAAGCCUGCGAAGGUGUGCUGUGAGGCAUGCUGGAGGUAUCAGAAGUGCGAAUGCUGACAUAAGUAACGAUAAAGCGGGUGAAAAGCCCGCUCGCCGGAAGACCAAGGGUUCCUGUCCAACGUUAAUCGGGGCAGGGUGAGUCGACCCCUAAGGCGAGGCCGAAAGGCGUAGUCGAUGGGAAACAGGUUAAUAUUCCUGUACUUGGUGUUACUGCGAAGGGGGGACGGAGAAGGCUAUGUUGGCCGGGCGACGGUUGUCCCGGUUUAAGCGUGUAGGCUGGUUUUCCAGGCAAAUCCGGAAAAUCAAGGCUGAGGCGUGAUGACGAGGCACUACGGUGCUGAAGCAACAAAUGCCCUGCUUCCAGGAAAAGCCUCUAAGCAUCAGGUAACAUCAAAUCGUACCCCAAACCGACACAGGUGGUCAGGUAGAGAAUACCAAGGCGCUUGAGAGAACUCGGGUGAAGGAACUAGGCAAAAUGGUGCCGUAACUUCGGGAGAAGGCACGCUGAUAUGUAGGUGAAGUCCCUCGCGGAUGGAGCUGAAAUCAGUCGAAGAUACCAGCUGGCUGCAACUGUUUAUUAAAAACACAGCACUGUGCAAACACGAAAGUGGACGUAUACGGUGUGACGCCUGCCCGGUGCCGGAAGGUUAAUUGAUGGGGUCAGCGCAAGCGAAGCUCUUGAUCGAAGCCCCGGUAAACGGCGGCCGUAACUAUAACGGUCCUAAGGUAGCGAAAUUCCUUGUCGGGUAAGUUCCGACCUGCACGAAUGGCGUAAUGAUGGCCAGGCUGUCUCCACCCGAGACUCAGUGAAAUUGAACUCGCUGUGAAGAUGCAGUGUACCCGCGGCAAGACGGAAAGACCCCGUGAACCUUUACUAUAGCUUGACACUGAACAUUGAGCCUUGAUGUGUAGGAUAGGUGGGAGGCUUUGAAGUGUGGACGCCAGUCUGCAUGGAGUCGACCUUGAAAUACCACCCUUUAAUGUUUGAUGUUCUAACGUGGACCCGUGAUCCGGGUUGCGGACAGUGUCUGGUGGGUAGUUUGACUGGGGCGGUCUCCUCCUAAAGAGUAACGGAGGAGCACGAAGGUUGGCUAAUCCUGGUCGGACAUCAGGAGGUUAGUGCAAUGGCAUAAGCCAGCUUGACUGCGAGCGUGACGGCGCGAGCAGGUGCGAAAGCAGGUCAUAGUGAUCCGGUGGUUCUGAAUGGAAGGGCCAUCGCUCAACGGAUAAAAGGUACUCCGGGGAUAACAGGCUGAUACCGCCCAAGAGUUCAUAUCGACGGCGGUGUUUGGCACCUCGAUGUCGGCUCAUCACAUCCUGGGGCUGAAGUAGGUCCCAAGGGUAUGGCUGUUCGCCAUUUAAAGUGGUACGCGAGCUGGGUUUAGAACGUCGUGAGACAGUUCGGUCCCUAUCUGCCGUGGGCGAUGGAGAACUGAGGGGGGGCUGCUCCUAGUACGAGAGGACCGGAGUGGACGCAUCACUGGUGUUCGGGUUGUCAUGCCAAUGGCACUGCCCGGUAGCUAAAUGCGGAAGAGAUAAGUGCUGAAAGCAUCUAAGCACGAAACUUGCCCCGAGAUGAGUUCUCCCUGACCCUUUAAGGGUCCUGAAGGAACGUUGAAGACGACGACGUUGAUAGGCCGGGUGUGUAAGCGCAGCGAUGCGUUGAGCUAACCGGUACUAAUGAACCGUGAGGCUUAACCUUACAACGCCGAAG
rnacentral:rRNA from 1 species